rnacentral:rRNA from 1 species
GACGAACGCUGGCGGCGUGCCUAAUACAUGCAAGUUGAGCGCUGAAGGUUGGUACUUGUACCAACUGGAUGAGCAGCGAACGGGUGAGUAACGCGUGGGGAAUCUGCCUUUGAGCGGGGGACAACAUUUGGAAACGAAUGCUAAUACCGCAUAAAAACUUUAAACACAAGUUUUAAGUUUGAAAGAUGCAAUUGCAUCACUCAAAGAUGAUCCCGCGUUGUAUUAGCUAGUUGGUGAGGUAAAGGCUCACCAAGGCGAUGAUACAUAGCCGACCUGAGAGGGUGAUCGGCCACAUUGGGACUGAGACACGGCCCAAACUCCUACGGGAGGCAGCAGUAGGGAAUCUUCGGCAAUGGACGAAAGUCUGACCGAGCAACGCCGCGUGAGUGAAGAAGGUUCUCGGAUCGUAAAACUCUGUUGGUAGAGAAGAACGUUGGUGAGAGUGGAAAGCUCAUCAAGUGACGGUAACUACCCAGAAAGUGACGGCUAACUACGUG